UAGUGUGAGUUUCCCCCACUAUCUAGAGGGAGGCGUACUCACUUUUCUCUGAGUUCAAGGGUUCUUUAGAAUUCACAUAAAUAUUUAAAGCCUGACAUAUCCAAUCCUCAAAUGAGCCAAACACUGGCCAGUACAAAUGGUCUCCUCUUAUUUGUUUCCCUCCCCAAACCUCUAUGCAGUAGUGCACCAUUUUCACCUUGUCCUUUCCUUUCCUGGAGGGGAAGGCAUCCCAAUUUUUAAUCAUUAGUCCUAAUGGGCUAUCUGGAGGAAUUUGGGGAAGCUUUACAGGGGUUCCCCCACCCAUGGGACCAGAGGGCUUGCUUUUCCUCUGUCCCAUCUUCCGGAGUGCCUUCUUACACACACCUCUACGCUUCCCUCAAUUCGUGGCCCAGCCCGUCGCCGGGUGUGGGAAACGCACUACUAUGAGGUCCACACUCACGUCGUCUCACAGAGACGUCUCACUCAUCACACUCCAGGAUCCCAACCCCAACCGAGCGGCCCCCGUUCCCUUUAAACGGGGCAACCUCAGUAGCCCCGAAGGACCACUGAAAGAUUGAAGGACAAGAUGACCUAGUCCUGCUUCUUGGAACUCAGAGGAGGACGGGGGCCAAGCAUGCUGUUGCAGAUUUGAAAGCAGUUUCCUUGCUUUAUGAGCUGGAAUCUUGAGAAUUUUUAAAAGCCAUUUCUAUUUCUGACUGUGCUGUGACUUUAGGUCCUGUAAGAACAGUGUGCCUACUGAAGUCAUGCCAUUACAAGGGUUUGGUCAGAAAAGACAGAGAGAAGGAGUUAGCUGGGGCAUUUAUCAACAUCUGGUAUCUUAACCAGCAUCAAAAACUGACUGCGGAGAAGAUGAAAGCUCUCAGUAGUGAAGGACUGAUCUGGGGUAACCUCUGAAUGAAGACUCCAAAAUGGAGGAGAUCAACAAGGCAAUUCCUCAUUUUGCUGAAGUCCAGAUACACUUGCUGAUAGAAGGAAAAGAACAGCAGUAUACUAGAAUUCUGUGCCUGCACACAUAUGUCUGGCUGUGUACAAGUACCCAUCAGCUUAAUCUCCUAACGCCACCUGUCCAACUCGCAAAAGGACUCUGGUAUUGUACAAAAUCUGUUACAGAGGGCUUGGGAGUGGCAGUGAUUUCAGGGUAUGUGCAGGUGAAUAUUGGGAUGCCACUGAUGCCAUGAUGAUUUUUUGCCUUUUCUUUUAUAUACCUUUCAUGUAUCCUCAGUGCUCUUUAUAUGCAUACUUGUAAUUCCUUAAAUCUGAUAACUUAACAUAGUCCUGGUUUUCUGUUAGGCCAGAAAACCAAACAUCCUAGAGGCCUUGCAAUUGGAGAUAAAAACCCUUUAUCCCUUAACCACAUCUGGCUCUCAAUUUUAAGACCAAAAAAAGGCACCACCACAGCUCAGGAAAGAAGACAGAUGUUAAAUUUAUUCUUGGACUUUAUGUCUGAAGAAAUUAAACGGCUUUUGCAACUGCUGGUUGCCAGUAAAUUAUGGAUAUAGCAGUGUAGCAUUUCCAUUGCACAUCCUAGUGAUGUCCAGCAUUCAAAAGAAGUACUUCUAAUAAAAGUUUAAACUGAUAAUGAGAA